UACGUAGGGGGCAAGCGUUGUCCGGAAUCAUUGGGCGUAAAGAGCGUGUAGGCGGCCCGGUAAGUCCGUUGUGAAAACUCGAGGCUCAACCUCGAGACGUCGGCGGAAACCCUCUGGCUAGAGUCCGGAAGAGGAGAGUGGAAUUCCUGGUGUAGCGGUGAAAUGCGCAGAUAUCAGGAAGAACACCCGUGGCGAAGGCGGCUCUCUGGGACGGUACUGACGCUGAGACGCGAAAGCGUGGGGAGCAAACAGG
rnacentral:rRNA from 1 species